CUUGGUGUAGAUCUUGAACUGAAGAGUAACGGUUACACACAGUGGUGUCUCUAUCGAUUUGGGACGGCUCCAUAAAUUAUUUAUUCUUUCUAUUCUCAUUUCUGUGUUAAUCUAGAUUUUCUGAUGCUGAAGGCUUAAUAAUUACAUGAGAAAGAGCUUAUCCUGAAUGAACAGACACAAUGUUGGGUGAAUUCUUCCAGACUGGCGUGGCUUUUAUAUUAUUCACUCUAGAAUGGUUCCAUAUAUGGGGACAUACCCUAAUCUUAUUCCGCGUGCGCUUGCUGCCGCGCAAGGAUCUGGUUAGAAUUAGGUACUACUUCUUAUUUGACAUGCUCACUGUGUUUAGUUCAUCUAUACUGUUUACUGGAAAGUUGAGAUGGCUUGCCGUCCUUCAGAUGAUACAGCACAGCUACUACUUCAUAUUCUGGGAUAAGUCUUGGCUGGCUAAAAAGAUUAUAACAUGGAGUUCUUUAGACUGGUUUAAAAGUGACCUCAGGACGCGUUGGGAGAUUGACAAUAUAGUGGGAACCACCUUUGAUCUUGUGGUCCAUCUGUGUAUGGCAUACUAUCUCGGCCAGUACCUCGAUGUCGUGCACGUCAUGUGCUCCCUAGCGUUGGUUCAAGUGGGUGUUCUUACUUUGCUGUUCGGACCUUACUACGCUUGGGCAAGUCCCGGAAAGGAACCAGCAUGGAUCGAGAAGAGGAUUCAUCCUGAGAAACUGAAACAGAGUUAAACUUCUUUCUUUUUAGGUUUUGCUUGUUUGGCAACGUGCAAAAUGCACAUAGUUAAAUAGUUUUACAACGUUUAAACACUUUUUAAAAUGUAACAUUAAAGUGCUGUUGAGAUCACGUGAUUAUCAUCAGUUUAUUAUUUGAACAUGGUUCGCAGCUCUAACGUGAAAAAGCAAUGCGUGUUUAGAGAACCAGAUUUCGAAAAUAAAAAAUUUGUUUUUACACGAAUAUAUUCUGCAAUCGGUUGAAAUGUUAAAGGCAGUUAAGUAAAAAAUAAAGAUCAGCAAAUUAGGAUUAACAAAGUACAAGGACAAAAAAUCAAUGUGGAAGUUUAAACAGUCAUGUAUAUUCAACACUUCCUGUUAGUAAACACGAAAUGUUAACAAAAAGAGAAAUACUUAAAGCUGAUUUGGAUGAUAUUCAUGUUGAAACUCUUCCUUACGUAGUUCUGAUAAGGAAGAAUUAUAAACAUGAAAAAUAAAUGUUUACAAAUAUGAUCCAAUAGGUUUCUUUUAUAUUAAAAAGUAAUUUACCAGUGAAAUACAACAAUAAGAAAUGAAGUAUACCAAACGUAUUCCAUACCAGUCUGUGAUAUCCUUGUACCCUUGUAUAACCACCGUCUUACAAGUCCAUGACAAAUGUUGUUAGGGUUUUCAUAAAAUUCAUGCCCUAGGUAAUGUAUUAUAUACUUUACGAAUUGCAAAAAAAAAAUGUAUCGAAGACAGAAAAUAAGACCAGACUUGAGUUUAAAUUUUUUGAACAUAUCACUUAAGCUGUCAUUAUGGACUACCUAGCAUGUUAAUAUAGAAAAUUUUCUCUCUCUCUUUUUGUGUUUGAUUUUGCGUUUUUGUGUAGAUGAAGUAUGAGAGUGGUGCAUUAAUUAUACAAUAAUGUGUUUUUUUUACAUAAUUGUCCAUAUUUGUCAGCGCUGUAAUUGUUUUUCUUUUUAUCUUUCAGUAAAUAUUUAAUUUAAACUUUAGGAACUUUCUGCACUAUCAUACAUGUAUGCUCAAAUUGACGACUUCUUGUAAUGCAAAUUGAUACAAUUUUAUACUUUUCACAUAUUUAUGCUAAUCGAACGACUAAAAGUGGUUAAUAAAUUAGUGGCAUGAAAUGCUGAAAAAUAUUUGGGGCCAAUUUAUUAGAUAGCUUUGAUUUUAUUCUGUCUUUUUUAUUUAUUAACUUUUAUGUCAGUUUUUGUUUAUUUUUUUAUUUUGUCUCAAAGACAUUUUACCUGGAAGAUUUUAUUUCUUGAAUUCUUCUUAAAUUCUUAAUUUAAGCGAGGAAAACUUGUUUCAUUUAUGUCUACGACUUGAUGUUAUUUCGUCUAACUAAAAGAGUUAACAGUAGUUAAUAGGCAUUUGCGAGUUAUCGUGUCAAAAGGGAACAGUCCACAGUGUAUCGACUGUUUUGCGGAAUAGUGCUCAAAAUUAAAUGAGCAGACGACCACCUGAUUUUUAAUGAAUUCAUACUUUUUAUUCCUCACAAAAUAUGCAUAAAUAUGUAUAUAUUUUCUUUAGAGUUCAUGAUAAAAUUUUCUCAACUCUCUAAGAACUGGAAGCUGUUCGUUACCUAUAGCGGGGUUCCUAUUUUGUUAGUCGUUGCGUUAAAAUGUGACGUGUGUUUAAACGUUUUUGUCUCACAUUCUUGGUGUGUUUUAUAUUGUUUAUUGUAUAAGAACGUAUAAAAUCUUUUAAAAACGUUUUUGUUAAAUAUAGUAUGGGUCUAAAUAAUAUUGAAACCCAUGUCAAAUAAUAAUAUUGUGUAGAAAUUACAUCGUUUACGAGUUUUAGGGGUUUUUUUAACAAACAUUUACCAAUGUCACUAUAUGACAUCCGUUUUUAAAUUGACAUCGUGAAAAUUAGUUUUAUUUAUUAAAUAAGCGAUUUUGAACAUUGUUUAGUAUGCCUUAUGUGGUUCAAGACAACUUGUGUAAGGGGAAAAUGGAACCACUGUCUUACUCUUGCAUGAUUGUAAGAGGCGAGUGAAAGGGUCUUAACAGUCCAUUUUACUGUAUUUCUGCAGAUAUAAAGUUUAUUUCCAUAUCUCGUAUUCAGUUUAUUCCGAAGGGGGGCCUCCCUGCAUGGUCGAGUGGUUAAGGUCGUUGACUUCAAAUCAAUUGCCCCUCACUGAUGUGGGUUCGAGCCUCACUCGGGGCGUUGAAUUCUUCAUGUGAGGAAGCCAUCGAGCUGGCUUACGGAAGGUCUGUGGUUCUACCCUGGAACCCGCUCGUUAUGAAAUAAUGCACGGAGGGGCACCUGUGGUCUUCCUCCACCAUCAAAGCAGGAAAAUCGCCAUAUGACUUAUAAUUGUGUCCGUGCGACGUUAAGCCCAACAAAAAAGUUCAUUUCGAUGAAAAUGAGAUGUGAAACAAAACUUUUUAGUCCAGGUUUGUGACAGAAUCUGAUAUUCUGUACUGUGUUGGUGCCCGUUAAAUACAAGUCAACAUUUAGUGCUUAUAUUAUUAAACUGAGAUAAUGCUAAUAUGUAUACACUGAUGAACAGUAUUUAUUCUUUUUACAAUCAGUUUUUUCUGUUAGUCUCAGGAUGUAUGUUUUUAUAUGGACGAGAAUCAUUAUAGGGCAUGUAAAAUCUUAAAAGAAUGAGAAAAAAUAUAGAGAUUUUUUUUAGUCAGAUAAUUCAACUCCAUAACAAAUUUUUAAAGAAAAUGUGUUCAUCAUCAUCGUCAUCAGUAUCAUCAUCAGUAAGCAUUUAAAAGUAUGACAUUAGCUGUAAGUAUACAUGUAGUUGUUUGUCAUUUAAAGAUACCAAUCAACGAAUACGCUCAUUUGUUGUGGAAACUAAAAAAUUUUACCAUUUUUUUUUACAUAAGCAUUAUAUCAAAUCAAUUUUUGUAUGGUUUGCUCCAUCCGAAAUUGCGUUCUUUAAAUUAUUGUGUACUAAUAUAGAAUAUUUAUGGUUUUUGAUUUUGUUGUUGAGAGUACGUCAUAACAUGUGUACAGUGUACUUUAGUUAGUCGGAUAAAACCCGUGCUUCAAACUCGCUUAUUUCCAGUUUUGAGCAUUUUGAAGAAUUGUUCAAGUCCCGUCAGAAUUCGUUCUGAAUUCCUUCUGAAUUCUGAAUGUGUGCGGCUCCGUUUAAGUUAAAUUCAACAUUGGCUUGCUUUUGGUUGUGUCCCGUAUGUCAAAUUAUCAUGUAAGUACGCCUCGAUGUGUAGAAGUAAUGAUUUGCUUCCUUAACCUUUAGCCUGCUGGCGGCAAGUGAUUCUGCCUUUGCGAGAUCGGUCUGCACAUCCGUGCGUGCUGAUAAUGGUCUGCACUGUCCGCUAUUCAGUCAGUAAAUUUUCAGCGAACACCCCUUCAAAUAAUAAAUGGUAUUGCCCAAAUUGAAUGAUGGACUAGUCCAUUUUAGAAAUUUAGCGGCUAAAGGUUAACGAAGGCAUGAUCAUGUAUUAAAAAUGAAAAAAAAAAUAAGUAAAUAAAUAAAUGAACAAAUCUCGUUUUAUAAAUGUAGUUUCAUAUUGUUUAUAAAUAUAUAUCACUUAUUUACACACACACAUAUUAUAUAUAUAUGAUUUCAAUAAAAAUUAAACAACUGCAUAAAGUAUCAUUUUAUGCCGAAUUUUGAUUAUCAUUAUCUUAGAACGAUAGGUCCCUUGCAGCUCGGGAUACUAAGUUACAACAGUACAUGUAAAUGUAGUAUUUUAUGUAGUGAAUUUACAAAUUUGCAGUUUUUACUGCAACUUAUCUUACAUUUAAUGUUUUAAGCAACAAGAUUUUGAACUUGUAAAUUUUGCCAAUGUUGAUUUGUGAAAUACAACAAGGCUAUUAUAAUAGUAACUCGAUCUGGGAUGCUAUAUUCGGCUCGAGUGGAUUUUGCCAGAUCGGAUCUCACGAGGCGCGCAAGCUCCGAAUGUGACCCGUCCUUGCAAAAUCCACGAGAGCCGAAUACGAAAUCCCAAAUCGAGCUAUUGUUGUAAUGACCCUUUUGUUAUUUGUUUGUAAGAAAUCUUUAUUGUGUGACGAUGUUAAAAUAUAAUUGAGUGAAGAUUUGAAGUUUUUGUGUGCGCUAUUUAUAGAACUGUGUCAGGUCAUGAAUAUUAAAUGAAAAUAGUCCGGCAACAUACAAUGCAAAAGGUACAAUACGGAUAUUUUCUGCCUAUUCAUAUUUAUUUGUGAAAUACAAGCAAUAUUUUCGACAGAAUUUAUAUAGGUAUAUAAUAAAUAUUUAUAUAAUUAUAUAUCCUACAUGAACAUGUAAUACUGUGAAAUCGUACUCUGUUUCCAAGCGAUUGUUUUUUCUUUUACUGUAUAUGAUAAUGCAAAAAAUGCACUGUUCCAAAUAAGUUCAUCUUUUGAUAGUUUUCGUUGAUUAGAACACAUUUGUAUGUUAUUUCAUUCGCACAGUUGUUAGUUAAUACCGAAAAAUAAAUCAUAAAACGAC